UACGUAGGGUGCAAGCGUUGUCCGGAUUUAUUGGGCGUAAAGAGCUCGUAGGCGGUCUGUCGCGUCGGAUGUGAAAACCCAGGGCUCAACCCUGGGCCUGCAUUCGAUACGGGCAGACUAGAGUACGGCAGGGGAGACUGGAAUUCCUGGUGUAGGGGUGAAAUGCGCAGAUAUCAGGAGGAACACCGGUGGCGAAGGCGGGUCUCUGGGCCGUAACUGACGCUGAGGAGCGAAAGCGUGGGGAGCGAACAGG
rnacentral:rRNA from 1 species